UCUUCUUCUUUUUUUUUUUUUUUAAUAUUUAUUUAUUUUUGAGAGACAGAGACAGAGUGUGAGUCGGGGAGAGGCAGAGAGAGAGGGAGACACAGAAUCCGAAGCAGGAUCCAGGCUCCGAGCUGUCAGCACAGGGCCCGAUGCGGGACACAAACCCACGAACUGUGAGAUCAUGACCUGAGCCCAAGUCGGAUGCUUAACCGACUGAGCCACCCGGGCAGCCCGGUAAGGCCUUGUGAUGGGCAGCUUAUCCAGGCUCUCGUGUGGAGAGAGUCCUGGGAGGAUUCUUAGACCCACGUCCGUGCUUUGGAGGAGAAACCAGAGCCAUGGAACGUUGGCUGCAAGCAGGGGAGGUCCCUGGCAAGCCCGGGGUGUGUGUGAUGCUAAAAACCAUGAUCAGUAGCUGAGUAUUCAACACCCACCAGUUCACUUUCAUCAGCUGUCCACCUGCCGGUAGAAUCAUCAUCCAACCAUCCAUCCAUCCACUGUCCACUCCUCCAGCAUCCAUCUCCCAAUUCCCUCAUUCCCCCCUCUCCCCAUUCACUCACUUCCCCCCAGUCCUGUCGCCCCCCCCCCCCCCCAUCCCUCACCACUGACUCUGCACCUGGUCCUGUGCUGGAUGCUCAGUGUGCAACGAGUAAGACUGCGAUCUUCCUUCAAACCCAGUGAGGCAGGCAGACGCUUCGUCUAUGCGAGGGAGGUGAAUGUGGUGGUGGAGGGUUCUAGGAGGUCUGAGAUUUCAGACCUGGAAGACCUAGACAGGCAUCAGAGUUAGUCCCGCGAUGCUAAGUCUGGGAAACCGAGGUCUAGAGAGGAGAUAAGACAUGCCAAGUCACAGAGUCAUGGGGGGGCGGGGGUGAGCUCAGGUCUCACUCCCAUUUCCCUGUUCUUUCCGCCAGACUCUGGGCCCCACUUCCGCAUCCAUACUCAGCAACACUGGAGGCCAAACGCUCUCAACCCCUUAGUGCCUGGCACAGCCCUGGGCCUGGGGAAGGGGACCUUCCCCGUUGCCACAGCACACCUGCGCUGUCCCCACGGACAAUCAGAUUGGUAGAGCUUUCUCAUGCUCUUCCCAUCGUCCCACGGAAAACCCACCACAGUUCCGGAGGACUGGCAUCACCACCCCUUUUUACAGAAAAGGGGGCUCAGAGGGGGGAAGGGGCCUGCCUAGAGUCACACAGCUCGAGUGCAGCGGAGCCAGCAUCCUGAGUCACCAUUGUGAACCUGAUCUGAGACACCAGGCGGCACCUCACAUAGCCUUGAAUGUUCUGGCCCCAGGCCGAUGUUGUGCCAUUGAAGUCAGGGGCUGCUGACAGGUAGGUUCGGCAGGGACGGGAACGUUGGGGGAAGGACCCUGAAAAGGAAACCCCGGAGACUGUUUUCACCUGGAAGGGCUCCGCCCCGCCCAGCAAUGGAAAAUGUGUGUCAGAGGAAGCCGCUGGCUGGGGAUGGGGUAGGUGUGCGUGGGUGAGCAUUUGGAGGGGCACAACGGGGGAGGGGCAGGAUGUGCUGGGGUUGGUGGGCAAGGUCGGGGUGCCGGAGCGGGGCGCGGGCUCUGCCCUCUGCCCACUGCCUUUUUCUCUCUGGUUCUCGCUUUCUUUCUCAUGCUCUCAGAACUAACAAUACAACUUUCACUUCCAGACAGAUGGGCCGACUGUCCUAUGAAAGCUGUCCCCACGCCCUACCUCCCAGAUCCCCUUGGCCAAUUCGCUCUGCUGGGUAGUUACCGCAGCAAGCAUUUAUUGAGCACCUGCUGCAUGCUCAGAUGCAGGGAUGCAGGAUGGCCUCUUCCCUGCCCAGAGAAGUGCACAACCUGGUGAAGACAGAAAUAUGACGAGACAGGGCCAUUGUGACAAGGUACCGCAAAGCCGGGGUUAAGAUAACACGGACUUAUUCACUCUCUGUUCUGGAGGUUCGAGGAUUGAAAUCGAGGUCCCUGGAGCAUCCAGCGCUGCUUCUCACCCCCGUCCUUGCUCACGAUGAGUCCUCUCCUGGCGGGGGCGGGAGGAGGUUCCUAUUGCUACUUUGUUCACACUCAUCAUUUAAGGCUCAGCUCUUCUUCCCGUCUUCCUCAGCUCUGCUGCUGGCUAGGCUGCAGGUCCCUCAGGCCACCUUCUCCCCACUCUGUGUUGACUUCAGCAGCACCACUAAUAAGAACUCUUUUUAAUAUGAUAAUUUGUCUCUUUAAAAAAAAUUUUAAUGUUUAUUUAUUUUCGACAGAGAGAGAGACAGAGCAUGAGCGGGGGUGGGGCAGAGAGAGAGGGAGACACAGAAUCUGAAGCAGCCUCUAGGCUCUGAGCUGUCAGCAGAGAGCCGGAUGCGGGGCUCGAACUCAAAGCCCGCGAGAUCAUGACCUGAGCCCAAGUCCGACGCUCAGCCGACUGAGGCCACCCAGACACCCCGAUAGUUUGUCUUUUAAUUAACGUAUGGGAUUAUUUCCCACUCGUUAGGUCUGGUGGUUCCUGAGUCACAACUGAACAACGAUCCCUGGGCAGCAUUUCCCCAUAGGGCAAGAGCAGUGGUCAGUGAGUCUACUCUUCUCCUGAGAUGGCUGUGAUCUGAAAUGAGUCGCUAUCUCCAGAGACUAUAUAGGUGUCAGUAGAACAGGGCUGAGGGGUCUUCGUCCCUUGCAAACCCUGGACUGUACCGAGGGGAAGAAGGCUCCAGGAGUUUUUUCUCAUGCAAUGCCUUCUGAUCCCGGUCCUCCCUCUGUCUUGGGGCUCAACGGGUUCUUCGAGUUUUCUUGUUCCCACCCAGGCAGAGGGGGAGCUGAUGUCCAGUUGAGGGUUCUCCCUCCGCUAGGCAGGGGUCUACACCCGUACGGCCAGCGUGUGACCGGCCCAGCCAGCCCCUCCGACAGCGUGGUGCAGACCACACUAGGCAGUGGCCUAGCCCCUGGGAGCGAGAGCUCACCGCUGCCACGUUUCCAGAUGUCGCUGCCUGGUGGGGCUGCAUGACUGCCACUCUCCGUGUGACGCUCCUGACCCUGUGGUUCAGGAGCUGCUUCAGCUUUAUGCACGAGGCAGCUUUGGCUGGACCGAUGGUGUGUGGUCCCACACUGCUGCAGGACAGACAGACACAGCCAGCCAAGGAGAACCAUGCCCACUCAGCAUCGGCUCCUUCAGCCUCAGCGACCAGCGUUCCAGCUCCGGGACCAGACUCCUGUCGUUCUGGGUGAAAUGCAGAUCCUAUAAUAAUAAUAAUAAUAAUAAUAAUAACUUUUAUUUAUUGAGGCAUAUCAUAUAAUAUAUACUAUACUGAAUGCUUUACAAAUAUCAAAUAAUUUGGGGCGCCCGGGUGGCUCAGUCGGUUGAGCGUCCGACUUCAGCUCAGGUCAUGAUCUCGCGGUUCGUGAGUUCGAGCCCCGCGUCAGGCUCUGUGCUGACAGCUCAGAGCCUGGAGCCUGCUUCGGAUUCUGUGUCUCCCUCUCUCUCUGCCCCUCCCUUUUUGCGCUCUGUCCCCCUCCCCUCAAAAAUAAAUAAACAUUUAAAAAUUUAUAAAAAAAAACAAGCAUCAAAUAAUUUAAUCCUGACCACAGUCUUAUGAGGCGGGUAAUUACUGGCCCCCAUUUUGCACAUUUAGGAAAUUGGGGCACAGAGAGGUUAAGUGACUUGCCUACAGCUGCACACAGCGGGUAAAUGACAGCACUGGGACAUAGACCCAAGCAGGCUGGCAUGCUCAACAGCUUUAACCGGUCACGUGACACGUGUCUGUUUGCUCGCCUGUCUCCCUUGAGAACAAGAACUGACUCUUGCUCUUCAACACUGGCACAGCGGCUGGCACACAGUAGGUGCUCCGUCAAGCCCCCCCCCCCCCCCUUAACAGGAGCCCGUUUGCAACAGGAGCCCUACGUAGGGUAAGAGAGCCUGGGGCGGGGCGGGUAGAGGGGUAGAAAAUGUGUUUCAUUUUAAUGGCUUUUUGCAACCAUCUAUUCUACAAGAUCACGUUCAUUUUCACAACACUGCUGGGCGUGGAUUAUUAGACCCACCCGUCAGAUGAGGAAACUGAGGCCCGAAGAGGCUGAGAAAUUUGUCUGAGUCAGCUAGCUGAGAGUUGGUGGAGGUGGAAACCCAGGCCUCCUGACUCCAAGUCCAGGGCUCAUUCUGCGCAUCAGAAUCGGGUCGGGGAUGUUGCUGAACCUGAACCCUGUCCAAGGGGCAUGGAGGCCCUGCCGAGUCCGGGGUCAUUAAUCACUCCCUCUCCCAGCAUGAGGGAGCCUUUGGGGACCGAGGCUUUUUCCCUUCCUCUCAGCCCUCAGGGUCUAACACCUCUUCAGGGCAGGAAACUCUUCCUUGUCACAAAGCUCUGGCCCUCCCUCCCCCAAGUUCCCUCUAGUCCCAGGCCACUCCCCUCCCUGUCCCCCUCGAGGGUCCUGGUAAAAGCAUCCGCUUGUCAGUGUAAAUCUGCAGGGUUCAGACCAGCAGCUGGAGACGGAUGGGCAGGAAGCAGGAACAAUGGACGAAAGAGCCUCUGUGCCCAGGUGGGUGGGGGAGGGAGAGGCAGGAAGCAGCAGCCUCUCUCGUCUGCAGGCCUGGAGCCUGGCUGGCCAGAGGCCGGGGCUGCCAGAACCUGCGGGGUUUAUUUGGAUUCCCCAAGGAUCCAAGCCGGGAGCCCUUCGCAAACAUCAGACCAGCUCAUCUCCGUGGGGUGCCCGGUCCAGGAUGUGUGUGACAAGAAUGUCCCUUUCAUGCGUCUCUGUUUGUCCCUGGGGACUAGCACAGGGCCGGCUGCACAGUAGGGCAGGGGCUUGUCUGUUGCAUGAAGAAAUUAAUCUGGCAUUAACAAUAAAGAAUUGCAGGGUUUUCUUCUUUUAAAGUAACCUCCGUGUCCCACGUGGUGCUCGAACUUACAACCCUGCGAUCAAGAGUCUGAGCCAGCCCCUGAUUUUCUUUUUUAAAAAUAUUUUUAAAACAUCCACAAUUUCCUCUUUCCCCUUCAACAUUUUUGCACAGACUGUUCUUUCUGCCUGGCGUGCUCUUCCCUCCGCUUUUUGCAAGGUCAGCACCUUUUUAGCCUCCAGGUGCAGCUCAGAUAAAGCUCUCCCAUGAGGCUUUGAGGGCCCACUUUGACCCACACCCCUUGCUAAGGUAACCCCCAUUCCCUGGCCCCGCUAAUUCAGCACACUGUUGAUUUCCUAGGUGGCACUUAUCUUAAUACGGCAUCUUCUCACUUACUAUGUAUCCUCUUUUUUUUUUUUUUUUUUUAAUUAUUCCC